rnacentral:rRNA from 1 species
GACGAACGCUGGCGGCGUGCCUAACACAUGCAAGUCGAACGGGGUAAUUUCUUCGGAGAUUACUUAGUGGCGAACGGGUGAGUAACGCGUGAGAAACCUGCCUUUCAGUGGGGGACAACAGUUGGAAACGACUGCUAAUACCGCAUAAUGUCAUUUGGGGGCAUCCCUGAAUGACCAAAGAUUUAUUGCUGAAAGAUGGUCUCGCGUCUGAUUAGCUAGUUGGUGAGGUAACGGCUCACCAAGGCGACGAUCAGUAGCCGGUCUGAGAGGAUGAACGGCCACAUUGGGACUGAGAUACGGCCCAGACUCCUACGGGAGGCAGCAGUGGGGAAUAUUGGGCAAUGGGGGAAACCCUGACCCAGCAACGCCGCGUGAAGGAAGAAGGCCUUCGGGUUGUAAACUUCUUUUACCAGGGACGAACAAAUGACGGUACCUGGAGAAAAAGCAACGGCUAACUACGUGCCAGCAGCCGCAGUAACAC